UGAGGAAUAUUGGUCAAUGGGCGAGAGCCUGAACCAGCCACGUCGCGUGAAGGAAGACUGACCUUACGGUUUGUAAACUUCUUUUGUAGAGGGGUAAUGGCAGAUACGUGUAUUUGCGUGAAAGUACUCUACGAAUAAGCAUCGGCUAACUCCGUGCCAGCAGCCGCGGUAAUACGGGGGAUGCGAGCGUUAUCCGGAAUUAUUGGGUUUAAAGGGUGCGCAGGUGGCUAAUCAGGUCAGUGGUGAAAAGCUAUGGCUCAACCAUGGUCUUGCCAUUGAAACCGUAUAGCUAGAGAGGAGACGAUGUAGGCGGAAUGUGUGGUGUAGCGGUGAAAUGCAUAGAUAUCACACAGAACUCCGAUUGCGAAGGCAGCUUACCAGGCUUUAUCUGACACUUAGGCACGACAGCGUGGGGAUCAAACAGG
rnacentral:rRNA from 1 species